UUUAAAUAAUUUUACUGUGAAACUGCGAAUGGCUCAUUAUAUAAGUUAUCGUUUAUUUGAUAGUACCUUACUACAUGGAUAACCGUGGUAAUUCUAGAGCUAAUACAUGCUAAAAACCUCGACUUCGGAAGAGGUGUGUUUAUUAGAUUAAAAACCAAUGCCCUUCGGGGCUCACUGGCGAUUCAUAAUAACCUCUCGAAUCGCAUGGCCUUGCGCCGGCGAUGGUUCAUUCAAAUUUCUUCCCUAUCAACUUUCGAUGCUAGAGUAGUGUUCUAGCAUGGUUACAACGGGUAACGGAGGGUUAGGGCUCGACCCCGGAGAAGGAGCCUGAGAAACGGCUACUACAUCCAAGGAAGGCAGCAGGCGCGCAAAUUACCCAAUCCCGACACGGGGAGGUAGUGACGAUAAAUACUGAUACAGGGCUCUUUUGGGUCUUGUAAUUGGAAUGAGUACAAUUUAAAUCCCUUAACGAGGAACAAUUGGAGGGCAAGUCUGGUGCCAGCAGCCGCGGUAAUUCCAGCUCCAAUAGCGUAUAUUAAAGUUGUUGUGGUUAAAAAGCUCGUAGUAGAACCUUGGGCCUGGCUGGCCGGUCCGCCUCACCGCGUGCACUGGUCCGGCCGGGCCUUUCCCUCUGUGGAACCGCAUGCCCUUCACUGGGUGUGCCGGGGAAACAGGACUUUUACUUUGAAAAAAUUAGAGUGCUCCAGGCAGGCCUUUGCUCGAAUACAUUAGCAUGGAAUAAUAGAAUAGGACGUGUGGUUCUAUUUUGUUGGUUUCUAGGACCGCCGUAAUGAUUAAUAGGGACAGUCGGGGGCAUCAGUAUUCAAUUGUCAGAGGUGAAAUUCUUGGAUUUAUUGAAGACUAACUACUGCGAAAGCAUUUGCCAAGGAUGUUUUCAUUUAUCAGGAACGAAAGUUAGGGGAUCGAAGACGAUCAGAUACCGUCGUAGUCUUAACCAUAAACUAUGCCGACUAGGGAUCGGACGAUGUUAUUUUUUGACUCGUUCGGCACCUUACGAGAAAUCAAAGUGCUUGGGCUCCAGGGGGAGUAUGGUCGCAAGGCUGAAACUUAAAGAAAUUGACGGAAGGGCACCACCAGGGGUGGAGCCUGCGGCUUAAUUUGACUCAACACGGGGAAACUCACCAGGUCCAGACACAAUGAGGAUUGACAGAUUGAGAGCUCUUUCUUGAUUUUGUGGGUGGUGGUGCAUGGCCGUUCUUAGUUGGUGGAGUGAUUUGUCUGCUUAAUUGCGAUAACGAACGAGACCUUAACCUGCUAAAUAGCCCGUAUUGCUUUGGCAGUACGCCGGCUUCUUAGAGGGACUAUCGGCUC
rnacentral:rRNA from 1 species